CUGUUCUCCUUCUCGCGCUCGAGCCCUAGCUAGCUAUUCCGCCAUGGCUGAGAUCUCGCUGCCGCCGCCGUGUAGAUCGCCAUCGCUAGCCAUCCCCUAGUGCCUCGAUGGUACUCCGCCUCGAUGGCACAUCCAGCCGACGCCCGUAUCACCGUCUCGAUGGUAUUCCGCCGCGCGGGAUUGUCGCCGGCGGCUAACCCCGGCCGGCUGACGUGUCGCUGUUUAAUUAGCCGCUAACGACUCCGUUAACUAGCCACUGAGGCGCUGACUACUGGGACCCCAGCUAAUUAGGUUAGUUAAACCCUCUAUUUAGGGUUAGUUUAAUUCACGUGGCAAAUCAAUUCUCUCAUCAACUUUGACUGCUUCAAGCAAGCUACAAACUCAAAACGAAAAUUUCCUUACAACUGCGGUGCAGAUGGCUGCACAGAAUCUGGAAGUUCAAUUGUGAAUUGUGAUGGAAAGGAGGCAAGAAACUGUCAAUAAACACAAGAAAUGUGCUGGUAAGCAUGAACCGGAUGGCGUUAGAGUUGCAAAUUUUCCAUGUUACCUCCGAGUUUGUUGGCCCAUCGAUGCUGGAAACCGGUAGAACAUAGACCCGAAGUUAUAUGAAGAGAGUGGAGAUGACGCGGACGGGCUCGCACGCUCCUGCCAGCUGGACCAACAACCGGGCGCCGCGUUUCCUACUGUAUUUUAAUACGGCCGUAUAUAUACCAAGAAACGGAGUACGACUAAAACGGACGUGCGGAGACGGACCCGUGCAUGAUAACAUGUGCAUAUCGGUACAGGAUAUUGUUGUACCAUUGGUACAGAUGAGAUGGAAUUGUACGUGACGACGUUCUUAUCCUAUCUGUUCCCCUCCCCACCUUGCUCGCCGCCGCACAAAUCGACACCAUAGCCACCGCUAACCAUGCGCCAUAUCCGGCCACCGCAGUGCAGCUGCGUGCCGUUGCCUUCGUACAACAUCUCCCGCCCGACGACCAUUGCCUCCGCCGCGCGGCAAGAAGCCACACAGUUCCCGCGGCGGCCUCGCGGGGAGGAGCACGACAGGCCCUGGCGGCGGCCUCGUGUGCGGGGCAGGGCACCACGCCAGGGAGAGCGGUCUCGCCCUCCACGGGAUCCCGAUGCGGGGUGGAGUCGCGGUGGAGGUGCUGCUCGUGGGGGGAACGAUGGCCUGCCUCGCGCGAUGCGGUGGUGAGGAUGUGGGAUGGCUGCGGCGGGCGGCUAUGGAAGCUGCCGAGUCGCGGCACCAGAGGCGGAGGGAGCGGCUAGUGAUGGGGGCGAGGGCUGGGUGCUCUCCUCGUCUCACGCGGUCGCCGAGGGAAGCCGGCGGCUACUUCUGUUUCUGUUGGCAGCCGCUCCCGCUUCUGAUCUGAGUGGAUCCUGCUCCUGCUCGCCCCUGGUCAACCUCCUGCAUCGGUGCGCCCCUGUCGCCUCCGUCGACUCCACCCGUGGGUUGAGGAGAUGGCCGAAUCGGCCGCCGUGGCGUGCAAGCGCGGCCUGCUACUGCACAACCACCAGCGCCAGUGGAGGAGCUGCGGCGGGGAGGUGUUCAUCUACUCUUUUUUGUCACUGGAAUAAGGCAAUGACGUUUUUGGGCUUCCCCCAUUUUUGGGCUGGUCCGCCUAAGGGGAAGAGCCAGAUCGUUGUCCCUGCUAGCGACAAGUUUAUCUGACGUGGGAUGGUUCGGGCUAGAGGGGUACUUCUACCGAACGAGUUCGUUCGUUCCAGCGACUCUCCCAGCACGAACGACUCGUUCGGGCUGGGGUAUCCCCAGGCCGAUCGUUCGGCAGUUAUCGAUGUCCAAGAUCAUGGCUAUGGAGAUUAGGAUCACCAGAGACGAGGAAUUGGAGUUCUUAUCGGAUCUAGUUGACAGAUUUCCCCUGCCGGAUCUGGCAGGCGACGAGCUGCCGGUAUAGCACGGCAGAAGCCAGGCUGUAAUAUGUGGACCUGCGGACUCAAGCAUUGGCGAAGCAGGAGAUGCCAUGGCAGUAGUGGAAACAGAUUUGAACAGCACUUGUCAGGGGGUUGCCCUGUCGGUGCCGGCGUCCGAGCAAUCUACAGGGAAGGACGACCCUGAAGCCCCUGGCUGGACGCGAAGAAUCCGUGUUGGGCGUGUGCCUGAUGAAUGGCCCCCAUGUGCUGCCAGGAUGAGUGCAUUGGAGCUAACAAUACGAAUCUAUGCAGAGAAAAAAACCGAAACUGUGAUAGUUCCUGCUAUGGGAGCCAGUUUCGAUACGCUGGGGAAGCUUACGACUACUACAAUCUAUAUUCAUGGGAGGUUGGGUUCGGAGUGAGAUACGACAAGAGCCAUCUAAAUGUUGAGAGAACAAAAUGCAUGCAGGAGAUAGUUUGCACACACAAAAUGCAUGCAGGAUACGGUAAAAGAAAUUGUUCCAGCAAUUGCACACACAAGCGGGAACGUUAGUGAUGCAGAAGGCAGUGCUAUCGGGGAUUUCAUAGGACUGAAACCACCUGAGCGGAAAAGGAAAGCCGCGCGACCAACAAAUAGCAGAGAUAAGCCUCCGUAUGAUGACCGGGGUGCAAAAAGCAAAAGGAUGAAGCAACGGACAUCUGCUGAAGAUGUCGAUAGGUGUGGCACGAGCAAACGCACUCGCUUCUGCAGCAUAUGCCGAGAACCUGGUCACAAGAGCACAACUUGUCCGCGACGAGGAGGUCUUCCACUGAAAGAAAGGAACGAGACUAAAUGCUCUAUAUGUGGUGUCGGUGGCCACAGGAGAAACACCUGCAAUAAGCCAAAGGUUGUUUUAUAUGUUGCUGGGACAACUAACAUGGACAUGAAUGCACUCACCAGUCUGAUUUGAGAUCGUCUGUUCAAUCUGUGUAAUAAACCUGUUCUUGAGGGCUCCGCAGCCGAUAAUUGAUAAAUCUGUGUAAUAACAUGCUGCGUCGAUCUCUGUGUGCCAUCUCUUGUGUUUGCACCUCAUUAUGUAAUGACCUGUUGAAUUUCAGAUGUGUUUUCAGUUCCA